rnacentral:rRNA from 1 species
CGAAGGGGCGUAGCGUUGUUCGGAAUUACUGGGCGUAAAGACGCACGUAGGCGGGUUAUUAAGUCAGGGGUGAAAUCCCGGAGCUCAACUCCGGAACUGCCUUUGAUACUGGUAAUCUAGAGAUCGGAAGAGGUUAGUGGAAUUCCCAGUGUAGAGGUGAAAUUCGUAGAUAUUGGGAAGAACACCAGUGGCGAAGGCGGCUAACUGGUCCGAUACUGACGCUGAGGUGCGAAAGCGUGGGGAGCAAACAGGAUU